GGGCGACCUGAAUUGUCCACAGUAUUCCAAAUGUGACCUCACCAAUGUCUCGUACAGCUGUAACAGGAUGUCCCAACUCCUGUACUCAGUGCUCUGACCAAUGAAGACUCCACAAUGGAUGGGGAAUGCUGGCUUAAAGGGAGAUAAUGGAUCCACCUACCUACAAUGUUUUGAAUACAGUAAACAUUCCAAGGCAAGCAACAGGACUGUAGAAAAGAACACAAUCUGAUGUCAAGUGAUGUAGUGAGAUGUCAGGUGACCCGAAGCUUGAUCAAAGAGGAAGGAUUUCAAUAAACGGUGGACAGAAUUUUGCAACCUGGUCCUCCCGUGGCAGGAGAUUACAGUUCAUGUUACAAUCUGCCUGAGGGCUGUGCGUUGGAGAAGGGUUGAUCAGAUCUUCUGGCACCUUGAUUGCCUGAGGCUGUGCACUUUACACCUCCCAACAUGACCACAGUGGAAAGGGUUGGCAUGGCUCCAUUGGAUGAUUUGAAGCCACCGGAUGGCCCCAUUGGCCAAAGGCCACAGAACAUUCUGGAAUGUCAGAGCGAGGGAGUAUAAGAACACACACUGAUACACCACCCCUUCAGUGACUAUUUGGCGACGGCUCACAAUGAAGACUCACAGCAAGACCCAUAUUGGAAGACCACACAGCAACCCAAGAAGACCCAGGAGAAAAUAUGCCCUGACCUGUGAAACCCAUCUUCAUGGAAGAGAGCCAGCCCUGCAUCAGAGAGGAAAGUGAUACUAACAGUCCAGCUCAAAUGUAUGAAUCAUUGUGCUAGCUAGAGAGUGAACAUUGUGGGAACUUGGGAGAUGCUCACAUAAUGUUUUUAAUAAGAAGUACUUUGUUAAUGAAAUCAUGUUGAACUGCAAA